GGUUUUUCCAAAUAUCCUUAGUGUUAUUCAUCCCUCCUCCCCCUCCUCCCAUGGUGACUUUCCUCUCCUGCUUCCAGUUAAAGCCUUCUCCCAGUUUCCCCCAUUUUCUUCUUCAUAUCACUAAUAUCUUGCUAUUCGCCUCUCUACUGCUGCCUCCUGCUAUGGUUCUGUUUUUACUUCCCUGGUUUCUUUGUUUGCUCCAGGUUAUGUACUCACGCUGGAAGGUUUGGAGCUAGGAACCUAAACGAGAGAGAACAUGCGGUAUUUGUCUUUCUGGUCUGGGUUGCCUCACUCAGUACAGUAGAGGUUGAAGGCGAGGCCGAGAGAGGACCCUGAAGACCUGAGAUCUGGAUACGCCGUCUCUCUUGGUUCCUGGAUCCUGGAUGCUGGAGGUAGACCGAGCAGAGUUCUCCAGAGAACACCGCCGGCCUGCGCUACACCUUUCCCAGACCCUGUAACCUAUCCCUUCACUUGUAAGUUACCCCACAAAAUAAACCUCCCUUUUAACUAUG